GACGAACGCUGGCGGCGUACUUAACACAUGCAAGUCGAACGGAAAGGCCCUGCUUUUGUGGGGUGCUCGAGUGGCGAACGGGUGAGUAACACGUGAGUAACCUGCCCUUGACUUUGGGAUAACUUCAGGAAACUGGGGCUAAUACCGGAUAGGAGCUCCUGCUGCAUGGUGGGGGUUGGAAAGUUUCGGCGGUUGGGGAUGGACUCGCGGCUUAUCAGCUUGUUGGUGGGGUAGUGGCUUACCAAGGCUUUGACGGGUAGCCGGCCUGAGAGGGUGACCGGCCACAUUGGGAAUGAGAUACGGCCCAGACUCCUACGGGAGGCAGCAGUGGGGUAUAUUGCACAAUGGGCGGAAGCCUGAUGCAGCAACGCCGCGUGCGGGAUGACGGCCUUCGGGUUGUAAACCGCUUUCGCCUGUGACGAAGCGUGAGUGACGGUAAUGGGUAAAGAAGCACCGGCUAACUACGUG
rnacentral:rRNA from 1 species